AAUACGGAAGGUGCAAGCGUUAAUCGGAAUUACUGGGCGUAAAGCGCGCGUAGGUGGUUUGUUAAGUUGGAUGUGAAAGCCCUGGGCUCAACCUAGGAACUGCAUCCAAAACUAACUCACUAGAGUACGAUAGAGGGAGGUAGAAUUCAUAGUGUAGCGGUGGAAUGCGUAGAUAUUAUGAAGAAUACCAGUGGCGAAGGCGGCCUCCUGGAUCUGUACUGACACUGAGGUGCGAAAGCGUGGGUAGCGAACAGGAUUAGAUACCCUGGUAGUCCACGCCGUAAACGAUGACAACUAGCUGUUGGGAGACAAUGUCUUUCAGUGGCGCAGCUAACGUUUUAAGUUGUCCGCCUGGGGAGUACGGCCGCAAGGCUAAAACUCAAAUGAAUUGACGGGGACCCGCACAAGCGGUGGAGCAUGUGGUUUAAUUCGAUGCAACGCGAAAAACCUUACCUACUCUUGACAUACUUGGAAGCUCUUGUAAUGAGAGUGUGCCUUUUGGAACCAAGAUACAGGUGCUGCAUGGCUGUCGUCAGCUCGUGUCGUGAGAUGUUCCGUUAAGUCGGAUAACGAGCGCAACCCUUACCCUUAUUUGCCAGCGAUUCGGUCGGGAACUAUAAGGGGACUGCCGGUGAUAAACCGGAGGAAGGUGAGGACGACGUCAAGUCAUCAUGGCCCUUACGAGUAGGGCUACACACGUGCUACAAUGGGGAAUACAGACGGACGCUAAGCCGCGAGGUGGUGCUAAUCCUAGAAAGUUUCUCGUAGUCCGGAUUGGAGUCUGCAACUCGACUCCAUGAAGUCGGAAUCGCUAGUAAUCGCGGAUCAGCAUGCCGCGGUGAAUACGUUCUCGGGUCUUGUACACACCGCCCGUCACACCAUGGAAGUGGAUUGCACCAGAAGUAGAUAGUCUAACCUUCGGGAGGGCGUUUACCACGGUGUGCUUCAU
rnacentral:rRNA from 1 species